rnacentral:misc_RNA from 1 species
AAAAACGGAUCAAUAAUAGCCUCAGUCAGUGCAUAGUGAUCACGCAUUAAAGUUAUUCCGCGCAAUCGGAAUAAGAAGUCGUAUACGUUCAACAUUUCGAAGAUUAACUGUUUGAGUCUCCGUCAUGUGAACAAGGAGGACGGCAGCGCGGUGGAGAGAUUUAAUAUUUUUAUAUAAAAGACAAACUUUUCCACUUUUUUAAGUUAAAAAGUUGCAAAAAGUGCCAACAAGUGCAAUAUAAAAGGCAACCCAUUCUAAGUCAGUAACUUGAAGUUAUACUUGUGAACAAUGAUUGGUCUAACUCCUAACUCUCCAUCACACUCAGAUCUACACUCAAUAAAGGAAGAAGAGAUGAAGAAUGAAUCUGAAUAUAUGCUGCGCUGGUCAGAACACAACUCCCAACUAAUCAAUGUGUUUCAUCAACUGUGUCAGAGCGGAGAAUUUACAGACGUGACUAUUGCAACAGAAACAGAACAGUUUAAGGCUCACAAGCUGAUUCUGUCCGCCUGCAGUCCCUACUUCAGGCAGUUAUUCCUCGCCAAUCCUUGCAAGCAUCCUAUUGUGUUUCUCAAGGAUGUUUCUGACGAGCAUAUGCGCCUAUUGUUAGAGUACAUGUACCGAGGAAACAUCUCUGUACGCCAAGUCGACCUUGAGGAGGUUCUUAGGACAGCUUCUAGUCUCAAGAUCAGAGGUCUCACAACAGCUGAACCUCCGACCUCCGAUGAUGAUACUCCGAGACCUUUAAUAGUAGACGAGCAGUUUCAAGCCUCCGAUGUGUCUGGAGAUAAAUUCCAGAGUGUUGAAACCUUGUCCAGCCACAGCGCCACUAGUGGUAAGAGUGGGAGUAGGAAAGGAGAAGGACGGAAAUCCUCUGUGCCAAAAAAAUUGAGAUUGAGCGGAGACCGGGAAAGCGAGAUGUCCAGCCCCCGACCCUGGCCCCAUAUAGAAAAUGAUCUAAGGAUCACAUCCCUAGAUCAGAUCUCAGGGUCCAGUGAGAACCGAUCCCCUAUCGACAAUCUACCAGUUUCUGACACCGAGGAGAUAGACACCGACCAACCUGUAGAUUUUAGCACGGGAGGGAAGAUUGACCUCGCGCCCCGGUACUCCAUCCUCGGAUCCUACCUGAAGACAGGCAGAUCUAGUACAACACCUCCUGAGGACCUCGGCUAUGAUCUAAGAAGGGCGGAGCUGGCGGAAGAUCUCCGCCGUUCUGGAUAUGGAGGCAGUCCAUGGUUGAACAGUCUGGAACAGUUGACCAGCAUGCGAGGUCAAAGACCUGCCUCAAGGGACUCCAGAGGAGACUCAAGGGAGGAGAGAAACUCAAGUGGAGAAGAUUAUGAGAAAGAUAUUAAGGAUAUUCCACAACCUUUGGGUUCAUUAAGUGAUACUCUUGGUAUAGAUAUUGCUGGACGCAUUCGCUCUCAUUUCCUUUCAAACCUUCCAACACAAUCCUACGCCUGGCUCAACGGUAUGGGAGGUGGCUCACUCAAUUCUCUGGGCUCAAUGAGCUCUCUGGCCAGCAUGGGAUCCUUGAGUACCUUGAGCUCCCUUGCAAACCUACCUAAGGAGUCUAGAAGGGGGUCCACUGGUUCAACGGAUAAACUGGAUAAAAACCCACUUGGAGGAAUAAGAUCGGGUGAACUUGAGUUGCGAAAAUAUUGGAAGACUUUGGUCCACUCCAAUUCGCAAACCAGAACUGGUGAAAUUGGAACGAAUGGAAAACCAAGUGUUGCUUGUGAGGUUUGUGGGAAGAAGUUAGCAGAUCCUAGUAGUCUGUACAGACACAGGAAGAUUCAUUCCGGAGAUAAACCUCACAAAUGUCCAUAUUGUCCUAGGCGGUUUAUCCAGCGUUACAACAUGAAGCAGCAUAUUAAAACCCACAGAAUAGAACUGAUGACAGACCAACAACCGUUCUUAGAACAAGAGAACCAGCAUAAUAUAUCCGCAUAAACACUCGCCUCGCCAACCUCGAUAAGAUGCUUCCAAAGAUCUAGGGAUAAUGAGGUUUUCAAGUUCCUUGUAAGAACCAAAGCAUAAAUACCCCCCCCCCCCCCUCCAGUAUUAAUCGAGACUGUUCGCUCAAAAUAAUUGAAAGCAGGAUUAUGCGUUUUCUAUAUGAGAAGGGAAUAUUUGCAAUCUUAAGUAAAGAAAGUAUCAACAUGUUGCAAUUAAUUAUAUUUAGUCAGUUUCGUACCGAUGUCUUCGAUGGAAAAUAAGUCAUUCAAUGUUUAUCAAUUUUAGUCCAAAGAUAAAAAGGAGAGAUAAGUGUAAAUUAAACUUAAACGAGCUUUAGCGUGUAGCCAAAAAUCAAUGUUUAUAAAUGUGAAAAAUAUCUAUUUUGUGAAUGAAUGUUUAUGUCGAGAAAUACUCAUGUUACGCUGUGAAUUAAUGUAAACUUAGAAUUAGAGGAGUCUCGCCAUGGCAUUAUUUUGUAGCCAAAAAAUAGCCACAGGAUGGACUUGAUUAAUGUUUAAUGGCAUUUGAUGGAAUUAAAUGUGAUGUAACCGGA